AGGGUAGACAUUUGUAUUAACAGUCCUAUUUCAUUUCAUAAGGAUCAAACGGAUAGCACCAGCCAAAGUAAUUUACCCCUAGUUUACUUUUGCCUCUUAUAAUGAAUGGAUGCAACAAUACAUGGGUGCCAUAUAGGAAGGGAUGAAGAAGAACUCAAAGCUUGUGGCUAAUGUUGAAAAGCAUGUCCAUGGAAACUGGUGUUCAGUUCCAGCCAAAAAGCAGAUGUAGAAGGACCGGAGCUGCAGACUGAGGUGGAUUAACGACCUCAAACCAGAGAUAAAAUGAGGAAACUUUAGUUUAGCAGAAGAUAUAUCAUACCAUUAAAAUACUCCAUGCUCUUGGAAACAAAUGGUCAAUCACAACAUCUCACAGCUUGUCCAAUACAACAAAUAAUGAGAUCAAGAAUUGUUGGAACACCAACAUCAAGAAAAAGCUUAUGAGAAAGAGAAUACAUUCAACUACCCACAAACCAAAAGCCAACAGGUUGUAUGUACACCAGUCGAAGGAUGUUAUCACUAUGAAGCACUUAGUACAACAAGAAAGUGCUAGAUUUGCAGCUAAACCCAUGCAAGUUGAAUUCAGCUCUUUCAUUCCCCCAGUUCAUUAGAUUCAUUAUCAACAAAACAAAACAACAAUGUGUAUAUCAUAUAUGUCCUCAUGCUUGUUACAUAUUAUGACCUUCAAUUACUUAUAUCCACAUUGAGUUUCUUAGGUAGAAAACUUAUUGUCUCAACUAAUGUAGGAAAAUUAACCAAUAUCGAAAGUUUACUCUCAUACAAGAGUAAUGGUAAUGUCAUAGAAAGUAAUAGUCAAACUCAAAAGAUAUUGAAAGAUUAUAUGCUAGACUUGUAGGAUGGUGAUAUUGUAGUGGUUAUAGAUAUAAAAGUGACUUUCUACAUGUUUAAAGCUAUAACCAAUGUAAAAAGUAACCUACAUUCACAAUCACCAUAAUGUGUGGUCAUCUUACAAGUUUGACACAUAAUCUUUUAUUAUCUUUUGAAUUUGACUAUUAGUUUCUACGAUAUUACCAUCACUUUUAUAUGAAAGUGAAUUUUCGAUGUAAGUGAAUUGUCCUACAUUAGUUUAAAUAAUAAGUUUUUCACCUGAAAAACUCAAUGUGGAUAUUAAUGAUUGAAGAUCAUUACAUGUAACAAACAUGAUGACAUACAUGUUAUACACAAUGUUGUUGUGUUUGGUUGAUAAUAAAUCUAAUGAAAUGGGGGAAUGAAAGAGCUGGAUCCAAUGUGCAAUAAGGAUUUUUUUCUCAUUGUUGUUUCUCUUUUCAAUUUGGAUUGGUCAUCACCAUAAGCUUUAAAAGGUGUUAGCUUUUAGUUUGUAGAUAAUGGAGAGUGUUCAUCUUAAAAUCGAAGACGAAAAACCCAUGUUAUAGGUUGAA